rnacentral:misc_RNA from 1 species
UACAUUUCAAAAGCAAAAACAAAUAAUUCAGUAUUUGUUAAGCAUAAAAACAUUUUUAUAUUCAAAAAUUUAAAGGUUUCAUUCCUUUCUUUAAUUAAUUAAUUAGCUUUAUAACUUGUUGUAUGGUAAUAAGCAUAGAAUGACUUGGAAAACCGUAGAUAUUUA